ACCACCGAUGACAAGUCCGGGAGGGCGACGGUUGGUAACCGUGUGUCGCAGGUUCGAAUCCUGCCGGGGGCACCA
rnacentral:tRNA from 2 species